AGCUUGCUUCUCUUGAGAGCGGCGGACGGGUGAGUAAUGCCUAGGAAUCUGCCUGGUAGUGGGGGAUAACGUCCGGAAACGGACGCUAAUACCGCAUACGUCCUACGGGAGAAAGCAGGGGACCUUCGGGCCUUGCGCUAUCAGAUGAGCCUAGGUCGGAUUAGCUAGUUGGUGAGGUAAUGGCUCACCAAGGCGACGAUCCGUAACUGGUCUGAGAGGAUGAUCAGUCACACUGGAACUGAGACACGGUCCAGACUCCUACGGGAGGCAGCAGUGGGGAAUAUUGGACAAUGGGCGAAAGCCUGAUCCAGCCAUGCCGCGUGUGUGAAGAAGGUCUUCGGAUUGUAAAGCACUUUAAGUUGGGAGGAAGGGUACUUACCUAAUACGUGAGUAUUUUGACGUUACCGACAGAAUAAGCACCGGCUAACUCUGUGCCAGCAGCCGCGGUAAUACAGAGGGUGCAAGCGUUAAUCGGAAUUACUGGGCGUAAAGCGCGCGUAGGUGGUUCGUUAAGUUGGAUGUGAAAUCCCCGGGCUCAACCUGGGAACUGCAUCCAAAACUGGCGAGCUAGAGUAUGGUAGAGG
rnacentral:rRNA from 1 species